UGGCUGGAAAACCGGUGCAGAAAUGCCAGUUGCCGUCGCCAUCGUCUGUGCCUGCGUCUCGGGCUUUCGCUUGAGAUUCGCUUGAGUGUUGCUGGUGCAACAACUUGCAACAUGCGGCCACUGCACAAUCGUGCGGUGAAUGCAGCUGAGCGCCUGCUACAAUGCAGCGACCGAACACCUGGAAUGGGGCAUCCACCUUCGGGAUAGCCCGGACUAUCCAGCCACAGACACAGCUCCAGCUGCAGCUCCAUCCGAAAGAGUCCCAUCGUCAACACCCCUCCCCAAAAUGCGAUUCCCAAGUUCCAUCUGCACUCGCAUUCCCAGUGUCUCAGGUUGCGAUUGCCCGCUUUUGAGGGCUGUUUUGCGGCAGCAGGGAUGUUUCCACUCGAGGGUUGGGAAUCCAGAUAUAUUGGGUAUUGGGCCCAAACCCAAGCACACGAAACGAAAAAUAAAACAGCAAACUGUGGGUGAGGCCGCGCUGCUGCACAGGAGAAAAACCCGAAAAAAAAGCGUACAACAAAAGCUCAGCCAAAGCGGAAACCUGUUUUGGCCAUCGAGCAAAGUGAGUUGAGUGAGCAAAGAGUUAAGUUGAGCAGCAGCAUUGACCCCAACUGACUCAACGACAAAAUAUGCCACAGAAAAGGACGGCAACAGAGCGUCGGACAGAGAUGGCAGACGCACUGAAGGAGAUGGAGUUGAAGACUGGAGCCUCGGGAGAUCUCUCGUAUCCGAAUAAAUGCAGAACAUGGUGCGAAAUAUUUAAUACAAAAAUGCUGAAAAGGAGUUUGGCCUGACAAAAUAAAGCACCACACUAAACCAUGUACAGUGAAAUGUUGUUAACUGAAACCGUCAUUACUGCAUAUUUUAUUUUUUGCAUAAGAUGACCUUAGAAAAAUACGACACAGUUUCUUAAAUUGCGAAAGUAAUGGAGGAGGUUUUCAAAAUUUCAACAUCAACAUAUGCACUAAAGUUAUGGAUUUCAAGAAUUUAAAGAUUAAAAGUUUACGCAUUUAAGCUACUUUCAUUUGAUUAUAAUUUUUUAAUUUAAGUGAACAAAGGCUUCAGUUAUAUGGGCUCAAAAAUGAAUUCGUUACAGGAAAUUCCAAGGUGCGCAGUUCGCGAUACAGAGGCAAACCUGUAGCAGCCAACUGCAGCAGACGAAGCGAGGUUCUGGUGCUGCUUCUUCUUGGCCAACCAAGUUGUUUUAAGCCACCUACGAAGUCGAAGCUUAGGCCGGGUUAUCUUAAGCUUAAUUGGGUCAUUCACACGCGCCACUUGCCCGUCGAUAGAGAUGGAUAUACGGCUCCAGAGGGAGAUAAAGAUACAGCUGGAGACACUGCUGAAAAACAUACACAACUUUUUCAGCCUAGCAACAACUUCCGGUGUCUUAAAGACGAAACGAACAAGAAACUAAAGACGAGGCAUACAUUACAUGUUAGACCACUCGAAGACGUACAUAUGCGAAGACGGGGGCAAAACAAACGGCGGCGAACAGAGGGAGAUACAUGUAUGUUAAAAAAGGGAAAGACAAAUAAUACUGUUUAUCAAGUGAUGAAAAGCAUUUAAAAUGUCGAGUAUGCCAGGUAUUGUGCUUAAAUGCAUGCCCUUCGUUGGAAUGCAUCUGAUAUUGAUUGCAGUAACGAAACAACGGUAGUUCUCCCCCACACGGAAUGUUUUCUACCUACAAGGAUCAAACGAAAUCAAAGGAUCAAUGUUGAAGAAGAAGCAGAGAGAGAGAAAGAGAGAAUCAAAGACAGGGCAAAAACAAAGUCAUCAGUCCAAAGACAAAGGCAAAUAAAUGGAGAGACAAAAGAGACGGCCAUAAAAACUCAACCGACAACUUCUGGAUGUGCGAGGGGGAUGGCAAGGGUAGAGCGAGAGAGAGAGGUGUGUGCAUCCAUCAUUUUCUAGGCGAUGCAAGCAAAAGCAAUAGCAACAACCACAACAAUCUGCAGUUUGGUCUUAGGAAAUUAUUUGGCAAUUUCAAAGCCUCGAAAAACUGGUCUUGAUCCAUUUUUAAAAGCCGAGCUUUGACUCAAGCUUCCCUCAAGCAUAAAAACAUCAAUCAUGCGAAGUUCUACACGAAAAGCGCUUCAAGGUCUUAUCAAAAUGAGAAGAGAAAAAAAGGCAUAUCAAGACCCGAAAUAGAACUGGUUUUGAAAUGCAAAAAGCCACCCACACGAAACUAAAACGCUAUAAACUAAUUAGGCGAUAAGAGCGUUAACUUACUUACCCAGAA